rnacentral:rRNA from 1 species
AUGGCACGUACUGAAGAUUACUCCAUCAUCCUAACAGAGUCCCGGAGCUACUGUCGAAACCCAGUGCAAUUGGCUUCGGGAAGAAUCUCUCCGCACCACGCCAAUGGGCACCGUGAAAAGUCUCCGCCGAUUAAGGUUCUCGUUGACAAAGAAGCUUCCCCCCUACUAAGGUCCUUAUCCGCCUUUGAUGAAGCAGUCGUGGUUCUUGUAGACGAUGAAGCAGCGGCUCGCUUUGUCGCUGCCAAAGGACAUGUCCCUCCUGCACACUUGGUUGCCGCAGUACUUCUGGCUCUCUCUCUCACCAUGGGAGUGCUUAAGACAAGAACGCUGGACUCUUGGUCUCAUUCGCGAGUGCUAUGA